GGGCCAGUGGCGCAAUGGAUAACGCAUCUAACUACGGAUCAUAAGAUUCUAGGUUCGACUCCUGGCUGGCUCG
rnacentral:tRNA from 1 species